rnacentral:rRNA from 1 species
AGUGAACGCUGGCGGUAGGCCUAACACAUGCAAGUCGAACGGCAGCACAGUAAGAGCUUGCUCUUACGGGUGGCGAGUGGCGGACGGGUGAGGAAUACAUCGGAAUCUACUUUUUCGUGGGGGAUAACGUAGGGAAACUUACGCUAAUACAGCAUACGACCUACGGGUGAAAGCAGGGGAUCUUCGGACCUUGCGCGAUUGAAUGAGCCGAUGUCGGAUUAGCUAGUUGGCGGGGUAAAGGCCAACCAAGGCGACGAUCCGUAGCUGGUCUGAGAGGAUGAUCAGCGACACUGGAACUGAGACGCGGCCCAGACUCCUACGGGAGGCAGCAGUGGGGAAUAUGGGACAAUGGGCGCAAGCCUGAUCCAGCCAUACCGCGUGGGUGAAGAAGGCCUUCGGGUUGUAAAGCCCUUUUGUUGGGAAAGAAAAGCAGCAGGUUAAUACCCCGCUGUUCUGACGGUACCCAAAGAAUAAGCACCGGCUAACUUCGUG